rnacentral:lncRNA from 1 species
AUGAGCCACUGUGCCCGGCCCACUGCUUUCUAAUACAAAAUCUCAGAUGGAGGCACUGGGGACCCAGACACUUCUCACAGUGGGUGUGGAGGUCAGGCUGAACACUGGAAGACCAGCUGAGACACUGCAGGAGAAGCGCUUGGAUCCUCAAAUGCCAUUCCCCAGUUUGAACUGAAUGUCUGUGCUCCCUCCCCAGUAGAAGACUAGAGGAGUAGUUCUCAAAGAGAUGGAGUCUCACUAUAUUGCCUGUACUGGUCUCAAACUCUUGGCCUCAAGCAAUCCUCCCGCCUCAGCCUCCCUAACUGCUGGGAUUACAGGCAUGAGCCCCUGCACCCAACCCCAGCAUUUCCAUACCUAUGUACUGAUUAAAGAGACCCUCAGCCACUUCCCCCAGUAGGGUCAUAGAACCUUAGACACCUACCCAUAAGGUGGGAGAUUGAAAGAUUCUCUUCCAAGGAAUCUGAUAAGCCUAAAGAAAAAAAGCAUGUCCUGUGUAUUGGUAGUUGAGGUCCCUCCCAGUGAAGGGGGCCAGUACCCCAGCUGAGCUUCUUCCCCCUGGACAAUGGAACCAUCUGGGAAGCUUUUAAAUAUAUGAAUGUCAGGGAUCCAGCCAAUUCAACCACAUGCUCCAGGGGCAGGGCCCUGGCAUUUGUGUUGGUUUUAAAGCCUCCUUGGUGAUAAAAGCAUGCUGCCAGGGCGGGCUUGGAACCACUCCUUUGUGGGAAAGAUCACCAGCCAAUAAGUCACAGCCACAUAGACCGGAGGACUUCUGAGUGCUUCAUUCCCAAGCAUGAGUCUAUAGUCAAAUAUCACCUCAUAUUGAGGAAGCUCUACUGUGAAAGUCAGAGACCAAAAUAAACAGAAGAAAGGAAGAGCUUAAAGGAAACAAUGCAAGGAGCAGAAGAAACCUUCAAGUGAGAUCUUCAGAGAUUUUCUUUAAAAAAAGGAUAGUACAUCUAUGAAGCAAGAACAGGCAAUUACAAAAGGACAUUCAGAGAACAAGAAAACAAGUUAAACAUUUUGUAACAAAUAAAAUCUUCAAUGGAAGUUUUGGAAGCUAAGUUGUGGAACUCUCCCUUAUUUAUUUAUUUAUUUAUUUAUUUAUUUAUUUAUUUAUUUAUUAUUUUUUUGUUUUAAAUAGAGACAGGGUUUCGCCGUGUUGCCCAGGCUGGUCUCAAACUCCUGGGCUUAAGCGAUCCUCCCACCUCAGCCUCCCACAGUGUUAGGAUUACAGGCAUGAGCCACCGUGCCCAGCCAGAGGUCUCCUUUCAAGCAGAACAGACAAAGGGAGAGAGAUGGAAAUUGGAGAGCAGAGACAUGAGCUAGCAAUUCUGAAACUACUUUCUGAUCAUCCUGGGAUUGAGCAAAUGAGAACCAAGGCUCUUUGGGGAGACAGCUGACUCCAGGGUGAGAUGAGAAAAAUACAAGGCAAGACUGGACUAUCUUGUACCAAAAAGUAAAGAAAACAAUAGUAAAGAAAUGCUCAAAGAAUCAUAGGAGACUGUCAAGAGGACACAAUGGUUGCUGGAA